AUGUUAUGUGGAAACAGAGAAAGGUUAACACUCCCCCCUAAAAGGAUGGAAGAGACCCUUGGGCCUGACAACACGCAUACAGUUAAGACAUUGCUAACCAUUGUUUUUA
rnacentral:ncRNA from 1 species